CUUACGGGAGGCAGCAGUGGGGAAUAUUGCACAAUGGGGGAAACCCUGAUGCAGCAACGCCGCGUGCGUGAGGAAGUAUUUCGGUAUGUAAAGCUCUUUCAGCAGGGAAUAGAAAAGAAGGUACCUGAAAAAGAAGCCCCGGCUAACUACGUGCCAGCAGCCGCGGUAAUACGUAGGGGGCAAGCGUUAUCCGGAUGUACUGGGUGUAAAGGGCGUGUAGCCGGGGUGACAAGUCAGAGGUGAAAUCCGGGGGCUCAACCCCCGAACUGCAUUUGAAACUGGUGGUCUUGAGUAUCGGAGAGGCAGGCGGAAUUCCUGGUGUAGCGGUGAAAUGCGUAGAUAUUAGGAGGAACACCGGUGGCGAAGGCGGCCUGCUGGACGACAACUGACGGUGAGGCGCGAAAGCGUGGGGAGCAAACAGGAUUAGAUACCCCGGUAGUC
rnacentral:rRNA from 1 species